CUUUAUCUUUCCUAACCCAGAAACUCAAAACCUGGCAUCAUCUUUGACUUCUCUCUUUACCUUCACAUUCAACAGUUUCCAAGACUUAAAGGCUUUAUUUGUAGGAUCUCUACCACUGAUCCUCUACAGUUUCACACCUACAUCCCAUUCUCGUUCCCAAAUCCCCAUAACUCCUCUCCUGGCCCAUCCCUUAACACUGAAAUCCUGGCUUGGAAAAUAUGGUCACAUUCACAGCAGCUGUCCCCAAGAAGGAAGCCAAGGCAACAGUAUGCACAAUGAAAUCACUCUGGGAGAAACUCACUGCCAUGUUGUGACAACACUAUGGAGACGCCCAGGUGAGGGACUGAGGCUUCCUGCCAACAGCCACAUGAAUAAGAUUGGGAACAGAUCCUCCAGCCCCAGUCAAGCCUUCAGAUGACUGCAGUCUCAUGAAAGACCCUGUGCCAAAACCACCCAGCUUGAUGAAAUAAUCUGUACAACAAACCCCCAUGACACAAGUUUACUACAACAAACCUGCACAUGUACCCCUGAACUUAAAAGUUAAAACAAAACCACCACCACCACCACCACCACCCAGAAAAAACACCCAGCUAAGCCACUUCUGAAUUCCUAACCUACAGAAACUAUGAAAUAAUAAAUAUUUGUAUUU
rnacentral:lncRNA from 1 species